AAAUCAUAAAAUAAUUUUCUAAGUCUUCAUUUAACCUCAAAUUUGCUUUUGAUUUUCCCGCUCUAGAAUUGAUAAAAAAGAAGUGAAUCACCACUUGUUUAAUAAAAAUAAUUUAAGUCUCCAAUCCAAAUAUUGGAGAUAAUAUAAUGAUCUGAACCAUUACAUUUACCUCAAACUUACCACGGCUUCAUAAGCAUCUGACUUCCACACCCUACUACAACUACAUCGAUUUCACUAAUCACGUGUUUUCACUUUCAUAUACCUUAUUUCAUUCAAAUGAUAUCCAUAAUUUCUCAAUCUUAAUAGUAUAAC
rnacentral:lncRNA from 1 species